UGUCGAGUGGAUGCGUGUGUGUGUGCGCCGCGACCUGACGCUGCCGACGCUGCGACGCCGAAGCUGACGACGCUCCUUAUGUCACUCGCGCUCCCCGACGCGCCCUGAUCCCUGUACCGGGGCCCCCCGUGGACACUGUGGCUGUUCUUUCUCGCUUCCGUCGCACGUCGCUCCGUUUCGCUGUCUGACGCACCGCUUCCUACCUCCCGCAGCCCUGUCGCGUAGCGAGCGCAAAGCUCUGCGAGGCUGCUGUGGGAACGGUGCUAUUUUCGUAGACUGCGUAAAAGUAGCCAGCCGACAGCGAGUCGCCUCUCCCUUCGUAUCGAGGGCGGGAGACGCGAGCACGUACUGUCUUUCGAAACUCUGGUGCGUUCUCCCGUGUUCUGAGGCAGAGCGGUCACCUGCUUUUUCAAACCGCUCAGCCCUGAGGCUGCGGACGAGAUUAAUGACUGUGUUUUCCUGCUGCGAGACUACGUGAGAAGCUACUCGACGUCAGGUGCUUCGAGAACUAGAACUUCUUCGUUCGCGGGUUUCACGCUUCUCGCUGGUGAACUCGACGCUCGUAUCCUGGGAAUGGGCUGCUUUUACGAGUUCGCCGUGGAUCUUGUGGACUGUGUCUGGAGGGAACCAUGAAUGUGUGCCGCGGCUGCCAGAACGCGCCCUAACCGUGGCGGAGUGAGCAGCGGGAUGGAGAAGGAGAGCGACGUGGAGCGCGGCGCCGACAAGUCCGCGGCGGCUCCGGGGUCCGGCCCCGCUGCCGCCGCCGCCGCCGCCGCCGCUGCCGCCGCCGCCGCCGCGGACGCGCCCAGCCUGCUCGACGCCGCCAGCC